UUAUGCAUUUAAUUAUAACCUGUCUCUAUAUUUACACUUAGGUUUUUAAAGUGCCAUGAUUAUUUUUCUGCAGUUUGUUUUAGUAGAUUUAUUUUUAAGUGUGUGUGUGUGUUUGUAUGUGUGCUUGUAGGGUUAUAUACCUGUGAGUGCAAGUGCCCUUAGAGGCCAGAAACAACAGAUCUCCAAGAGUUGGAGUGAGUUACAGAUGGUUGUCAGCCAUCUGGAUGUGCUGCUGGGAACCGAACUUGGAUCUUCUCUAAGAUCAGUACAUAAUUUUAACUGCUGAAUCAUUUCUCGAGACCCAAGGGGCAUGGAUUUUUUUUUAAUGGGUUCAGAUAAAAUACAGUAUUGCCAGUUAAAUUGUUAGUUUUUUGUUUUUUAACAUCAUGAUGUCUGAUUAUAUUCACUUUGAUUCUUCUUAUUUAUUCAUAUAUAAAUAAAGACAGAGUCUCACUGUGUAGCUCUGGCUGACCUGGACUUGACUAUGUAGACUAAGUUGUCCUCAAACUCAAAGAGAUCUGCCUCCUGAAUGCUGAGAUUAAAGAUGCAAACCAUCAUGGCAGGUUUUUUUGAUAUGUUUAUUUUGUCUUUUCAAGACAGAAUUUCUGUGUAGCCCUGUGUGUCCUGGUAUUCACAGAGAUCCACCUGCCUCUAUCUCCCAAAGUGCCGGGAUUAAAGGUGUGUGCCACCACUGCAUAGUAUGUAUUAAUUUCUAAAAGUGUAGAAUGUUAAAUUUAAAUAACCCCAUCUUUUUCUUUCACUUUAAAUAUGUAUCUUUUUAAUCAACUUUUUAUUUGUGUGUGUGUGUGUGUGUGUGUGUGUGUGUGUGUGUGUGUGUGUGCGCGCACGCCUGCGUGUGCAUGCACACAUGCACCUGCAUGAUCAUGCAUGUUGUUCUGUAUGAACAUGUAUGUUACAUAUGGACUGGUACACACAGAGGCCAGAAUAGGGUGUUGGAUUCCCUGGAGCUGAAAGUUAUAGGCAGUUGGGAAUUGUUCAGUGUAGGUGGUUCUGGGAACUAGACUCUGGUCCUCUGGAAGGACAGCAAAUAAUGUUCUUAACCACUAUGACAUCUCUCUAGCUCCCCACCCCCAAAAUGCAUUAUCUCAAACAUUUUUUUCCUGUAUGUAUCAUUUAUUCACUAUAAUUUAAUUUUGAAAUAAUAAUAGGAUUUUUUCUAUCUUUAUCACUGGCUAAAGUUUAGAAUACAAUUCUUAUCAUGGGUAGUGGAAAAAGAGGCCAGUAUGUUGUAAUUGAUAAGUAAAAUAUAAUUGAGAACAUAGCAUUUUUGUGCUGCUUUCCACACACAUUUUUUGAAAUUUGUCUAUUUCCUCUUCUCCAACAGUUAUGGCUGAUUGUCCUCACACAAUUGGUGUUGAAUUUGGUACAAGAAUAAUUGAAGUUAGUGGUCAAAAAAUCAAACUGCAGAUUUGGGAUACAGCAGGGCAGGAGCGGUUCAGAGCGGUUACACGGAGCUACUAUAGAGGAGCUGCAGGUGCGCUCAUGGUGUAUGACAUCACCAGGUAAGAUGAUGUCCCACUUUGGAGUAGACCACUACUUUGGGCAGUAUGGUUUCUUUUCUAUUGAUUUGGGCCUCCUUUAGUUUAUAAUUGGAUAUCUGUAAACUAAUUUAUUUGGGUUUUAUGAUUUCUACUCUAAAGCUUGAAAAAUUAACAUUCUGAUCUUCUUCCCUGGAAGUUGGUUAAAGAAAGACCAUGAGAUAAUGGGGACCUAAAAGAAGAGCACAGUUUGUGGAGCUGAGUUAGUUGUUGCAGAGAGGUGGCUUUGUAUGAGACUUUUCUCUCAAGAAAGGCAAGCCAGUGCUUCGGAAUUGUAUUCAGUCUGUGUUAAAAUUGACACCCUCUGUAAAUAGUAGCAGUGAGGAGUGAAAUACUUAGUCUCGUUGGAAGCAUGAUAGACUGAAACAGAUCCUGUUUUCUCAUCUAUAGGCCAACAAAAGGUUCUUUUAUGAUAAGUUGACUUUUUUGACAUUUUGGUGUUGGUUUAUGUAUGAUGUUUGAGUAAUUACUCAUUUACUUAAAUUCAUUUUUCUACCAUGGAUUGAAGUGACUUAAAACAUUGCAUCAGGAUUCAAUUCAUGACAACAUGGCUCUUUCUAGAAACUCAGAACAUUAGACAUGAUGUCACAAAACAGGAAUAUAAAGGUUUGACUUUGGAGCAUGUAGUCAAACUGCCACUUACUAGACCUGAACAGCUCUCUCCUGUAAGAUAAAAAUGAACCAGUCUCCUUUCAUCAUGAUGCAGAGCGUCAGCCAAAAGCACCCCUAAGAAGACUUCCUCCUUAGCGAGAAGGGAGUGGAACCGAGGGACAGCUGGAGAGUUACUGAGAAAAAGCUUUAUGCUGUUUCAUUUUAAACAGUCAGCGAACCUGAGCAUAAGACUGAGCCGUCCACAGGAAAGGAGCCCCUUGCUAACUUCUCUGACUUUGACACACUCUUGAAAAUGCUGCCUUUAGAAUAUUUAUAGGGACUGAUUAUAAUCAUGUAUCUAAAACCUCAGUAAAGUCUCAGCACACAGUAAAGGAAGUCUUCAUUUUCCUCACUCAAUGGGCAGUUGGUAACACGAUCAGUAAAUGGAGACUGUAAACCUGGCUGUUGUACAGAACUGCCUCAAUAUGAGUUUUUAUUGCAUUCCUGAAGACUUAAUGUAAUUAAAUGUCCCAUACAUUACCAAUACACUUAAAUAUGAUGUGUGCUUAAAAUGCAAUUUAUUUUGCUUUUUAAACAUAUCUUUUAAGUAUAGUAAUACUGUGGUGAAAUUUAUGUGUAUUCAAGUGUAUGCAAGCACUUCAUAUGGAAACAGCAGAAAUGUCCAUCAGCUAAAGGAAUGAAUAUACAUCAGGUGGCUAUCCACACAAUGAACUGUUUUUGAGCUAUAAAAAGGAUGACUGAUAAAUGCUAUAUGUAAGUGUAAAGGCCACUUGUGACUCUAUUUAUCUAGAAUAGGCAGGAAGAUUACAAGGACAUGGCAGUUACUGGGCACAAAAUUUCUCUUUUGGGGAUCCUGUGAAUGUUCUAGAAUUUAGUAGUGAUACUAAAAGUAAAUUGUAUUUUUAAAGGGUUUAUGGUGAUGCGUUUUAUUUCAGUAUUUACUGAAAGAAGUACUUUGGAUGUUAGAUGACUUUAGACAGUUCAUAGUCACAGGUUGCUGGUAGAGAAAUGACACUAUUUUCUACCACUUAUUUCUGUAAAUCCUUAACAUUUUACAGCUUAGAAGUUCCUGCUUUAAUAAUGCUUUUUAUCUUCGGCAUCAGCUAUAAUUGUUACAAGCCAUUUUCCUAAAUUGAUAAUGAAGCUUAUUAUGUCAGUUGUUUUGCCAGACAGUCAGAAUAUAUCGUGAAGUCAAGAGUAGAAAGCUGAGCCAUCCUAACCCAGAGACCGUCUGUGCGUGGAUUGAUUUGUUGUGUUAGGGUCAACUGGACUAGUGCAGAUGACACCAUGUGGAAUAGAACAGUGCCAUAGUCUGAAUCUCUAGCGGCUUUAAGUGCCAUGCAGAUAAGAGUGACAAGAUACAAGCUUUCUUUCCGGUAGCUGAGGUCUUGAAUUUUUAGAUGAACUCAUUAAAUGCCUUUUUUAAAGGCAGUUUUUAAUCUGUGUAUUAACUCAGUCCAGAGUAGUAAUCUGGGCAUGGUGUCAUAUGCCUGGAAUUCUAGCAUUUAGGAAGAUGGUCACAAGUUGGUGGGCCUGGGAAACAUUC
rnacentral:lncRNA from 1 species